UCCUCAAUAGCUCAGCGGUAGAGUAGAUGGCUGUUAACCAUUUGGUCGUUGGUUCGAAUCCAACUUGGGGAGCCA
rnacentral:tRNA from 1 species